rnacentral:rRNA from 1 species
UACGUAGGGCGCAAGCGUUAUCCGGAAUUAUUGGGCGUAAAGAGCUCGUAGGCGGUUUGUCGCGUCUGCCGUGAAAGCCCGGGGCUCAACUCCGGAUCUGCGGUGGGUACGGGCAGACUAGAGUGAUGUAGGGGAGACUGGAAUUCCUGGUGUAGCGGUGAAAUGCGCAGAUAUCAGGAGGAACACCGGUGGCGAAGGCAGGUCUCUGGGCAGUAACUGACGCUGAGGAGCGAAAGCGUGGGGAGCGAACAGG